rnacentral:lncRNA from 1 species
GAAAGGAUGCUGAAAGUAUUGCGCAUAUGGGUACGACGGAGGUAACUGGGCAGCAUUAAUAGGGGCAACAGUAGCCAUGGAUUGACCAGCUCCGGCAGAUACCAUCCCUACUUCUGUUUCUUUCUUCUUAUGAUGACCGUUACCGUACCUCUUUGAUGCAUUUGCGGAGGAUUCAACUUUCUCGAAUACAAUAAUGCCUUCUCUGACAGCUUCUUCUAGGCGAGUCCCCAUGGUGACCAUCUCAGAGAAGUUAUUUGGAGCAGCAAUGAUCAUUCUUUCGACAUAAUCCUUUUUCAGAGUUUUCAGGAAUGUCUAAGUCAUCUCCUCUUCAUCAAGAGCGGGAGUGAUGCGGGC